GCCAGGCAAUACGUGCCAGCAGCCGCGGUAAUAGUAGGUGGCAGCGUUGUCUGGAAUUAUUGGGCGUAAAGCGCGCGCGGGCGGUUUCUUAAGUUGAUGUGAAAGCCCCCGGCUCACCGGGGAGGGUCAUUGGAAACUGGGGAACUGAGUGCAGAAGAGGAGAGUGGAUUUCACGUGAGCGUGAAUGCGUAGAGAUGUGGAGGAACACCAGUGGCGAGGCGACUCUCUGGUCUGUAACUGACGCUGAGGCGCGAAGCGUGGGGAGCGAACAGGAUUAGAUACCCUGGUAGUCCACGCCGUAAACGAUGAGUGCUAAGUGUUAGAGGGUUUCCGCCCUUUAGUGCUGCAGCAAACGCAUUAAGCACUCCGCCUGGGGAGUACGGUCGCAAGACUGAAACUCAAAGGAAUUGACGGGGGCCCGCACCAGCGGUGGAGCAUGUGGUUUAAUUCGAAGCAACGCGAAGAACCUUACCAGGUCUUGACAUCCUCUGACAACCCAGAGAUAGGGCUUCCCCUUCGGGGGCAGAGUGACAGGUGGUGCAUGGUUGUCGUCAGCUCGUGUCGUGAGAUGUUGGGUUAAGUCCCGCAACGAGCGCAACCCUUGAUCUUAGUUGCCAGCAUUCAGUUGGGCACUCUAAGGUGACUGCCGGUGACAAACCGGAGGAAGGUGGGGAUGACGUCAAAUCAUCAUGCCCCUUAUGACCUGGGCUACACACGUGCUACAAUGGGCAGAACAAAGGGCAGCGAAGCCGCGAGGCUAAGCCAAUCCCACAAAUCUGUUCUCAGUUCGGAUCGCAGUCUGCAACUCGACUGCGUGAAGCGGAAUCGCUAGUAAUCGCGGAUCAGCA
rnacentral:rRNA from 1 species